GUGCUGCACAGCCACGGCUCAUCAGUACAAAAACCUCACCGUCUGCCGAACCAAGCAAUUUAUAAUUAGGCUUUCUGUGGUACAUCACUAUAUGGGUUGUGAUACAGAACAUUUGAGUAAAACAUUUACUUUGCUGCUCAGUUAACGUUUGACAGAUUUCCACCUGGAUCGACUCGUUUUGAUCAACCUCUCGUUCUUCUUUCUAAAAGGGGAGGAGCUUCUGUGAAGUGACACGUUAUUUAUCCUCCCAGAAAUAUUCAGCACAUCUCUGUUGGACCACAAAGCGACAGAUUCUAAACACUGAAUAUUUAAAAUUAAAACGAUGUUGCAAAUUCUUAUACUUCUACUCUCUUCAUUGAGAAUUCAAGUUCACUGCCAGGACGUCAUCCAGGAUCCCACCAUCAGUUGGAGGUUGAAGUCUGAAUCGACCGAGAUGAAAUGCAGCCACAAAAAAGACGUUUCUCAUACCCAGAUGUACUGGUACCGACAGCGACCAGGGGAGACCAUGACCCUCAUUGUGUACACGGCGUUCGGUGGGCAGCUCGACUACGGAGAGAACCUGCAGAGCAAAUACUCAGCAGUCAAAGACGCCAUAGAGACCGGAGCUCUGACUGUGAAGGACCUGCAGCCUGAUGACAGCGGCAUUUAUUUCUGUGCUGUCAGCAAACACAGUGAUGUGAGGAAAUACAACAGCUGAACAAAAACCGACUGCCAAUAAAACAGAGUUA